UUAACUUCAUAGUCCGACUGCUGAAGCAGAGUGAGAGCAGGAGCAGACUCUUCCUGAGCAUUCCCGGCCUCCUCAUUGAGAUCCCUCAUCUAAAUGGGAGGAGACUUACGGGGGAGGAAAUGAGUAACUUCUCUUAUCAGAGGAUUCCAGUCAAAAACACCAAAUAUGGGGCGCAGCGAUGGCGUAGAGGAAAUGAGCGACCCAUGUUCAGAGGCUUCAGUCCUCGAUGCAGCCCGUUGCUGGUUUGAAUCCUGGCCCAGGUGACCUGUGCUGCAUGUCAUCCCCCUCUCUUCACCCCUCUACUUUCAACUUACUAUAAAAAAAACUGAGAAAAAUAAAGGCCACUAGUGCCGCAAAAAAAAUGUAUUCAA